rnacentral:rRNA from 1 species
GACGAACGCUGGCGGCGUGCUUAACACAUGCAAGUCGAACGAUGAAGCCGGAGCUUGCUCCGGUGGAUUAGUGGCGAACGGGUGAGUAACACGUGAGCAAUCUGCCCUUGACUCUGGGAUAACUGCGGGAAACUGUAGCUAAUACCGGAUACGACACCUUGGGGCAUCCCAGGGUGUGGAAAGAAUUUCGGUCAAGGAUGAGCUCGCGGCCUAUCAGCUAGUUGGUGAGGUAAUGGCUGACCAAGGCGACGACGGGUAGCCGGCCUGAGAGGGUGACCGGCCAAACUGGAACUGAGGCACGGUCCAGACUCCUACGGGAGGGAGCAGUGGGGAAUAUUGGACAAUGGGCGAAAGCCUGAUGCAGCAUCGCCGCGUGAGGGAUGAAGGCCUUCGGGUUGUAAACCUAUUUAGCAGGGAAGAAGCGAAAGUGACGGUACCUGCAGAAAAAGCACCGGCUAACUACGUGCCAGCCGCCGCAGUAA